GACGCACGCUGGCGGCGUGCUUAAUACAUGCAAGUCGUACGAGAGCGACCGGUGCUGCACUGGUCAAUCUAGUGGCGAACGGGUGAGUACACGUGGGUUACCUGCCCAUCAGAGGGGGAUAACAUCCGGAAACGGAUGCUAAAACCGCAUAGGUCUUUCGAACCGCAUGGUUUGAAGAGGAAAAGAGGCGCAAGCUUCUGCUGAUGGAUGGACCCGCGGUGCAUUAGCUAGUUGGUGAGGUAACGGCUCACCAAGGCCGUGAUGCAUAGCCGACCUUGAGAGGGUGAUCGGCCACAUUGGGACUGAGACACGGCCCAAACUCCUACGGGAGGCAGCAGUAGGGAAUCUUCCGCAAUGGACGCAAGUCUGACGGAGCAACGCCGCGUGAGUGAAGAAGGUUUUCGGAUCGUAAAACUCUGUUGUUAGAGAAGAACAAGUGCUAGAGUAACUGUUAGCGCCUUGACGGUAUCUCACCAGAAAGCCCAGGUA
rnacentral:rRNA from 1 species